rnacentral:rRNA from 1 species
UACGUAGGUGGCAAGCGUUGUCCGGAUUUACUGGGCGUAAAGGGCGUGCAGGCGGUUUGUUAAGUGCAGAGUGAAAGCUCCCGGCUCAACUGGGAGAGGUCUUUGCAUACUGGCAAACUCGAGGGAGGCAGAGGAAAGUGGAAUUCCCGGUGUAGUGGUGAUAUGCGUAGAUAUCGGGAGGAACACCUGUGGCGAAGGCGGCUUUCUGGGCCGUUACCUGACGCUGAGACGCGAAAGCGUGGGGGAGCGAACCGG